rnacentral:rRNA from 1 species
UACGUAGGGUGCAAGCGUUAAUCGGAAUUACUGGGCGUAAAGCGUGCGCAGGCGGUUUUGUAAGUCUGAUGUGAAAUCCCCGGGCUCAACCUGGGAAUUGCAUUGGAGACUGCAAGGCUAGAAUCUGGCAGAGGGGGAUGGAAUUCCGCGUGUAGCAGUGAAAUGCGUAGAUAUGCGGAGGAACACCGAUGGCGAAGGCAAUCCCCUGGGCCUGCACUGACGCUCAUGCACGAAAGCGUGGGGAGCAAACAGG